ACUCCUACGGGAGGCAGCAGUGGGGAAUAUUGCACAAUGGGCGCAAGCCUGAUGCAGCCAUGCCGCGUGUGUGAAGAAGGCCUUCGGGUUGUAAAGCACUUUCAGUCAGGAGGAAAGGUUAGUAGUUAAUACCUGCUAGCUGUGACGUUACUGACAGAAGAAGCACCGGCUAANNCCNNG
rnacentral:rRNA from 1 species